rnacentral:sRNA from 10 species
UGUUUUAUGGUAUAAUAGAGAAGUAGAAAAGUUAUGACGGUGGCGACUCAAUAGAAGCGGAGGUGGUACGUAUGAAUGUACUCACAAAAUCUGUUGAAAGGAGUAGCCUUUUGUCCGCAUAUGAGACAAUUCAAACCAUUUUAGGCUUUGGUAUGUUUACCAUUGCGUUAAUCGGUUUGAU